GAAAAAUCUGGGCAUAACAUGGGUUCUACGUUUAAGAGACAAGUCACUCUGCUUGAGGACAUCUGCGACACGGGGGCUGAAGGAACUGGGAUCCUCAGACAGAGGAGACUGGGGAUGUUUUGGCUGAUGUAGAAUGUGCAGGGUGAGAGAACUUGUGAUCUUUGAGGCUGAGGAAAUUGGAGGUUUCUUAUUAAGGGGCUUUAGGUCUCUGACAGGCAGGACAGUGGGAGUCUUGAGGACAAAGAGUUUUAAGGGCUCCCAGGCUGAGGUAUUCAGGGUCUGCGAGGUUAAGGAAAUUUGGUCUCUCUGUGGGUGCUAUUUUGAGGGUGCCUCAGCCUGAGGGGUGGAGAAGGCAAUGGCACCCCACUCCAGUACUCUUGCCUGGAAAAUCCCAUGGACAGAGGAGCCUGGUGGGCUGCAGUCCAUGGGGUCGCUAAGAGUCAGACACAACUGAGCGACUUCACUUUGACUUUUCACUUUCAUGCAUUGGAAGAGGAAAUGGCAACCCACUACAGUGUUCUUGCCUAGAGAGUCCUAGGGACGGGGGAGCCUGGUGGGCUGCCGUCUCUGGGGUCACACACAGUCGGACACGACUGAGGUGACGCGGCAGCAGCCUGAGGGGAACUGGGAUUACUCUAGGUAUUUGAGGGUCACAGCACCAGGGGAUUUGGGGUUUCUGGGGGUAAAGGGACUUGUAGUCCCUGAAGCUGACGAGAUGUGAGCUCCCUUCAAGUUAGGACCCAGGUUCUUCAAAGCUGACGGGAUUUGGGGCCUCUCACCCUGGAAUUUGAAGCCGUCAGGGUAAGGGUUUGUGAGGGUUGUGCAGGGUAUGUUCCGGUAAGUCUCCCAGCUGUUCUGCGGCGCUGCCAACACCAGUCCUAGGCUCGUUCAGAGCUCGAUGGCAUGGAGUCCUCCCUCGUUGAGGCGAAGUGAAGGGCGAGCAGCCGGUCUGUACCAUGUCAGGCACAAGCGACCAAUCGGCGUUGUGAUGGAGGCAGCCCUGCCAAUAGGCGCUGGAAGGGUGUGGAGAGAGGAGGAGGCCCCACCCAACCGCUCAGGGAUUGGCUGCUCAGGGGGCAUUUCUGUCAAGAAGCCGCCAGUGCGCAGGCGCAUUUUGGCCAUUUUCUUUGCUUGUUUUCAGGCAUUGCCUCUUAGGCCUGUAUCCUCAAGUGGGCGGGAUGUCCUCAGGCGGGAUGUUUCCUUCCAGUGCCCUCAACUAGAAUCACAGCUCCACCAGAUGGCAGUCGUGCUCCCGGACUUUCUCCUAGGCCCACCUGUGCCCUACCUUGUCAAAUCCAGUUUUGAAAAGAUCUCCUAUGGGGUGGCCUGGGUAACCGUGAGGGUAAAUAAGCAAUUCAACCAAAGCUGACCAAGGAAUCUUCUCAGAAACACCCACCUAAAGAAACUGAAGAAAAUCAAAGGCUCAAAAAUCUGUAGCCAGUGUUCCAAGGUGAAUGAAGAGCUGAAUCAGAAUAACUGGAGGAGAUCCCAGGGAUCGUGAGGACCCCUGCCAGGGGGACAGCUAGACCAGUGGGCAGCCAGUGACUUCAGAGCAUGGCUAGAGACCUCAGAAAUCUUCAAGGGUCUUGCCGCUGAGAAAUGGCCAACAGUACAGACGUUGAAUCUUAUACCAACAGCACACAUUAAUAAUGAACUUUAAAUAAAAUCAACCUAAUGUGGAAUUAUCUGUCUCUG
rnacentral:lncRNA from 1 species